AAGUCAGGAGCUCCCUCUUCAGGCGAUUCACGCUCACACAGAAAGAUGGCGGACCCUUCAGUCACGAUACGGACGAGGAAGUUCAUGACCAACCGUCUGCUAUGCAGAAAACAAAUGGUGGUAGACAUCAUUCAUCCAAACCGUGGAACGGUAUCCAAAAAUGAUGUUCGCGAGAAGCUCAGCAAGAUGUACAACACGACGCCAGACGUGGUCUUCUGCUUUGGGUUCCGAACACAAUUCGGUGGUGGGAAGACAUCAGGCUUCGCCCUCAUCUACGACACAUUAGACUUCGCAAAGAAGUUUGAGCCCAAGUACAGGCUUUGCAGAAACGGCCUUGGCGAAAAGGGAAGGACAGGACGUAAACAGCGUAAGGAACGCAAGAACCGUAUGAAGAAGGUACGAGGUACAAAGAAGGCCAAGGUGGGCGCUGCUGCUGGCAAGAAGCGCUAACUGGUGACGCUUGCCUCUGCUGUUGUAGGAGGGUGGUGCACCUGCGCACCGGUUUUCAGUAAUGACGUCAGUGGUUGUACGCAGCACCGUGCAUAUGAGCGAGCGGACUUCUCAAAUACAUGUGUGAAUAUAC